rnacentral:tRNA from 1 species
GCCUUCGUGGUGUAGUGGUCAGCACGCUCGACCGACGUGUAACCGAGAGGUCCGUGGUUCGAUUCCUGGCGAAGGUA